rnacentral:lncRNA from 1 species
GUGAUGGCCACAAAGAGGUGGAUUUGUUGAGUUGGUGCCAUUCCUUCUACUGCCAGCUUCACCAAAACAAUGACACAGUCUUCCUUCCGCAUGGAGACUCUUCUCUUUCCUGUGUUGCAGUGGAUGCCUCCUGCAGAUAUUUUAUCUUGCUGGGCAGGACUCUGCUGGGGGUGGUAUCAGGUCUUAUUCCCAAUAGAUGGUGACCAUGGAGGAAGACUUGUGUUGGGCCCAAUGGCCCUCGGCCAGUGUCCGUCUGCCAGGUGCCAGCCCCCGGUGCGCUGAAGCUCAGGCCAUUCCUGAUGCCCUGGCCUCCUGCACUGAGCUGUGUGAGCUCUUCUGCCCAGGCAGGCCCCCUGGCAUUGACCGGCAUAGACAGUGAGCCUGGAGGAAGACUUGCCCUGGUCCCACUGUCCCUGGGCCAGUGUCCAUCAGCCAGGUGCCCAGACCCCAGUGCGCUGAAGCUCAGCCCUCCCUGGCACUCUGGUCUCCUGCACUGAGCUGUGUGAGCUCUUCCGCCCAUGAGGGCCCCCUGGCCUUGAGCAGCAUAGAUGGUGACCCUGAAGGAGGACUUGUGUUGGGCCCAAUGGCCUGGGGCCAGUGUCUGUCAGCCAGGUGCCCAGCCCCUGGCGUGCUGAAGUUUGGGCCCUUCCUGGUGCCCUGUUCUAUCGGGGGAACCCGCCCCCAAUAAUUCAACGUCCCUCCGUUUGGGGUCCCUGACUUCCCUCAACACUGGUCUCUUCCACUGAGCCUUG